CCAAAACACCCCCCUCUCUCCGCACCGCACCUCAUUUCCCACUCGCCGUUGCCUCGCCUCCCACCUCGCAUGGCGCCGCCGCCGCUCGCCGCCGCCGCCCUCCGCCGCCACGUCCUACGCGCCCUCCUCCCCCAAUCUCGGCACCUCUGCCUCCUCGCCGCCCACUCCCCCUCCCCCUCCGACGACAGCGACUUCGAGCCUCCCGACCACCCCCUCCCCCGGGCCCCCGACGGCGACGGCGAGCUCGCCGCCUUCCUCCACCGCCUCUCCGACGCCUCCACCGCCGCGUCCUCCCCGAAGCACGCGCUGUCGCUUCUCCUGUCCUCGCCGCCCUCCCCGGGCCUACCUCCUGCCUCCCGCCGCGACCUCCUCGUCCGCGCGCUCUGGGAGCUCCGCCGCGACCCGGACGCGGCGGCCCUCGCGCUCCGGUGGGGGGAGGAGGGGUGCGCCGCCGCCGGGGAGCGCGCGGGGCCACCGCCCCCUCCCCCGCCGCCUGCCGAGGCGUGGCACCUGACCAUAUGGGCCGCGGGGAAGGCGCGGCGGUUCGACCUCGCGUGGGCGGUCGUGCGCCGCAUGCUGCGCCGCGGGGUGCUCACCAGCCGCGCCAUGGUCAUCGUGAUGGAGAGGUAUGCAGCUGCCAAUGAAGUGAACAAAGCAAUCAAGACAUUUGAUGCAAUGGAGAAGUUUAAAACGGAAGCAGAUCAAACUGUAUUUUACUCCCUUCUUCGUGCUCUUUGCAAAAAUAAAAACAUAGAGGAUGCUGAGGAAUUGCUUCUCGUGAGAAAGAAAUUCUUCCCACUUACUGCAGAAGGUUUCAAUAUUAUUCUAGAUGGUUGGUGCAAUGUAAUCACUGAUAUAGCUGAAGCAAAGAGAAUUUGGAGAGAAAUGUCAAAUUACUGCAUUACUCCUGAUGGCACAUCUUAUACCCUCAUGGUCAGUUGUUUUGCAAAAGUUGGAAACCUUUUUGAUACCCUGAGGGUUUACGAUGAGAUGAAAAAGAGGGGUUGGACUCCUAGUAUUGCUGUUUAUAAUUCUCUUAUCUAUGUCCUGACAAAAGAGAAUUGCAUGAAGGAUGUACAGAAUAUAUUCACUAGAAUUAUCGAUGAAGGCCUCCAACCAAACGUCAAAACUUACAACAGUAUGAUAGUUCCGCUUUGCGAAAGUCGCAAGCUUGAUGAAGCACGGAUGGUGUUGGAGGACAUGAUGCUGAAGGGAAUUGUUCCAACCAUUUUGACAUACCAUACAUUUCUGAGACAAGAAAACAUUGAUGAAACCCUGAAGUUCUUGAAAAAAAUGAAGGAUGAUGGCUGUGGUCCUAAGAGUGAUACAUUUCUCAUGCUUAUUGAUAGAUUUUUUCAAUUGAAUGAACCUGGACAUGCUUUGAAGCUCUGGAAUGAAAUGAAAAGAUAUGACAUCAGACCUUCUUAUUCACACUAUAUGUCAGUUGUGCAAGGUUUGAUCAAACACGGAUGCAUGCAAAGAGCUUUAGAGUAUUAUGAUGAAAUGAAGGAAAAUGGCUUUGCUUCUGAUCCAAAACUUGAAAAGGAGUUCAGAACCUUUUUGUUGGCCAACAGAGACCAUUGGAGAGGAGCUGGAAAAUAUAAUAUUAUUCCACAGCGUGGCAAACAUUUUGCAAGGCGGUCAAGAAUUCAGUGACAUUCUGUGCCAUUAUUAUGAGGACUUAAUUAACGAAGGUGCAUAUUUUGGUCUAAACAGUUUGCCCCACUUAUCUCUCGUGAUCCUGACAUCUGAGCAGGUUACUUUCAGUUGGGUUGGCCGUCAUCACUUUGGCCAUAUCACUGGGGCUGGCCAUCCCAGUCCUUGCUACAGAAGCUCCACAUCUGAGCACAAUAAAAAUAUGAAGUUGGCGCGCCAGGUAGGGGUGACGCCGAGUUUCCUAUCAACGAGUGCGAUGGAAAUCAACUUCAGAAAGAAAAAAGAUCAAUGUCGAUCCAAUUAGCAACGUCGCCGGGCGUUUGCACGUUCAGCGCUGAUGAUCAUCUUGGCAUGCAUGGAUGCACUGGUCCCUGGAUUCUCGCUCACAAGAUGUGUGUGCGUGCUGCACGCCGUGAAGCCGCCGACUGCUUGCCAGGGCAACCAAUCAUGAGUGUGCAUGCAGACCGGUGGAACGAUAAAGAAGCUUGAGAUCAAGAUCAACCGGCUAGCUCGUGGCCAUAAUAUUUGGCAUCAUCACAUAUAUCGAUCUAUGCAACUAUUACCUGGUUUGGCUUUCCACUUUAAUUUUAUUUAGAUUGAUCCCUAAUCACAUGUUACUCUACGUUGUUUUCUCUCCUUGAUUUCAUGCAUGUACUGCUGAGUGCGUGGUGAUGUCAUACUGCCAUCAUGCUAUCACGGUGAUGAUCAUAUCGAGGCUGAAGCGGAGUACAGGACACAAGUCGCUGCGCAACUCGCCGGCUGCAUGUCUUGAUCCAUGCAUUUUGGACGUCACGUUACUCUAUACGGCCGUCGCACGUUCGCAUGGUGUCAUGAUCUCCACCAAUUGCGGCCUCACGCGCUCAUCAAUGGAUCUAACACCGAUGACUGGAUUGGAUUGUCGACCAUACCCACUGACGGCCAUAUCCGUCAUUGUCGACCGGGCAGAUCACACCCCUAUUAAAUUGUUCAGAUAUCGGGUUAGCUGUUCCAAUUCAUAGAUUAUUAAAAUUAAUCUUUGAUUUAUUUAUUUUUUUACAGAUCAAUCUAUUAUCUGUAUAUAUUUCCUGUCGUCGAUUCGGCCGAGUCCUUUGACCAUGCAGUUGUACGUCGAACUACUCGCUGAACAAGUCGAUGGUUAUACAAGUCCUGUACAGGGACGGCAGCUGCCGGACAGAACGAGGAGCCAAUGAACCACAUGCAAUCGUGCAUGCGCUUUUGUGCUUAUGGUUAUGCAGGCCUCUCUAUCAAGUGCCAAUCAAGCCAUGUGUUUGGAUCUAUUGAUUAUUAUAUCAGUUAUUUUUUUUUUACAAAUAUCUAACCACAGGUUGAUGUGCAAUUUCUUGUCUUUGCAUGUAUCAUCGCUUGUACUUCAUCACUGACUGGCUGGCCUUUGCCACCGCCGACUGGUGUUUCCGCCUGCACGGUUGGCCUAUUAUGCCGCCGUUGUUGGGCGUCUACGACUUCACCGGCGGCUUGCCUCCGUCGCCGCCGACUGGUGUCCUCGCCUAUACGGUUGGUU